rnacentral:rRNA from 1 species
UACGGGGGGAGCAAGCGUUGUUCGGAUUUACUGGGCGUAAAGGGCGCGUAGGCGGUAGCACAAGUCAGUUGUGAAAUCUCCGGGCUUAACUCGGAAAGGUCAACUGAUACUGUGCGACUAGAGUGCAGAAGGGGCAACUGGAGUUCUCGGUGUAGCGGUGAAAUGCGUAGAUAUCGAGAGGAACACCUGCGGCGAAGGCGGGUUGCUGGGCUGACACUGACGCUGAGGCGCGAAAGCUAGGGGAGCGAACGGG